GUAUUGUCACAUUGUAUCUAGGAUAUCACCAUGUUUUUCCCCCCUGGAGGGAGCAGAUCAAACAAUUUUUUCAAAUAACAAUUUAAAUCAUGAGCUUACCACUGAUCUCAUUUCAUGUUUAAGGACCUUUCAUCUUACAAAUCCCUCAGCUAUAAAGCAGAAUCCUUCAUGCUACUUCCUGCAGGGAUUCAGUGCCUUCAACAAAGGAAUCAAACAUGCAAACAAAAACAUCUGGAUAGACAUAGCAUGAUACCAUAUUUAGGUUUUCUUGCUUGAGUUGCAAUACCUUAGAAAUUUUAUGAGUUGAGUUUUAUUAACAUUAGGUAAACUGACCUCCUUUUGUUAGAUUAUGAAACAUUCCAAACAUUUACCUGACACCCAGUGUAUUGGUUCAUUUUCAUACUGCUAUGAAGAAAUACUGGUGACUGGAUAAUUUAUAAAGGAAACAGGUUUAAUGGACUUGCAGUUCCACAUGGCUAGGGAGGUCUCACAAUCAUGGUGGAAGGCAAAGGAGAAGCAAUGGCAUGUCUUACAUGGUGGCAAACAAGAGAGCUUGUGCAGGGGAAUUCCCUUUUAUAAAACCAUCAGAUAUUGUGAGACUUAUUCACUGUCACUAGAACAGCAUGGGAACUCCCUUCCCCCAUGACUCAAUUACCUCCCACCAGGUCCCUCCCAUGACACAUGGGAAUUAUGGGAGCUACAAUUCAAGAUGAGAUUUGGGUGGGGACCCUCACAAAUCUCAUGUCCUCACAUUUCAAAACCAAUCAUGCCUUCCCAACAGUCUCCCAAAAUCUUAACUCAUUUCAGCAUAAACUCAAAGGUUCACAGUCCAAAGUCUAAUUGGAGACAAGGCAACUCUCUUCUGCCUAUCAGCCUGUAAAAUCAAAAGCAAGUUAGUUACUUCCUAGAUACAAAGAAGGUACAGGAAAUGGGUAAAUACAGCCAUUCCAAAUGGGAGAAAUUGGCCAAAACAAAGGGGCUACAGGUCCCAUGCAAGUCCAAAAUCCAGCGAGACAGUCAAAUCUUAAAGCUCCAAAAUGAACUCUUUUGACUCCAUGUCUCACAUCCAGGUCACUUUGAUAAAAGAGGUGGGUUCCCAUGGCCUUGGGCAGCUCUGCCCCUGUGGCUUUGCAGGGUAAGCCUCCCUGCUGGCUGUUUUCAUGGGCUGGCAUUGAGUGUCUGCAGCCUUUCCAGGCACACAGUGUAAGCUAUCAGUGGAUCUACCAUUCUGGGGUCUGGAGGACAGUGGCCUUCUUCUCACAGCUCCACCAGGCAGUGUCCCAGUAGGGACUCUGCGUGGGGGCUCCCAGCCCACAUUUCCCUUCUGCACUGCCCUAGCAGAGGUAGGUUCUCCAUGAGGGCUCCAUCCCUGCAGCAUACCUCUGCCUGGACAUUCAGGAAUUUCCACACAACCUCUGAAAUCUAGGUGGAAGUUCCCAAACCUCAAUUCUUGACUCUUGUGCACUGGCAGGCCCAACACAACAUGAAUGCCUCAGAGGCUUGGGGCUUGCACCUCUGAAGAAAUGGCCUGAUCUGUAUGUUGGCACCUUUAAGCUAUGGCUGGGAUGCAGAGCACCAAGUCCCUAGGCUGCACACGGCAUGGAGGCCCUGGGCCCGGCCCAGGAAACCAUUUUUUAACUCCUAGGCCUCUGGCCUGUGAUGAGAGCGACUGCCGCAAAGGCCUCUGACAUGCCCUGGAGACAUUUUCCCCAUUCCAUUAUCUUGAUGAUUAACAUUUGGCUCCUCCUUACUUAGGCAAGUUUCUGCGGCUGGCUUGAAUUUCUCCUCAGAAAAUGGGUUUUUCUUUUCUAUUGCAUCUUCAGGCUGCAAAUUUUCUGAAAUUUUAUGCUCUGCUUUCCUUUUAAACAUAAGUUCCAAUUCCAAACCAUAUCUUUGUGAAUACAUAAAACUAAAUGAUUUUAAUAAUGCGCAAGUCACCUCUUGAAUGCUUUACUGCUUAGAAAUUUCUUCAGCCAGAUACCCUAAAUCAUCUUAGGUUCAAUGCUCCACAGAUGUCUAGGGCAGGGGCAAAAUGCCACCAGUCUCUUUGCUAAAACACAACAAAAGUCACCUUUGCUCAGUUCCCAACAGGUUCCUCAUUUCCAUCUGAGACCACCUCAGCCUGGACUUUAUUGUCCAUAUCACUAUCAGCAUUUUGGUCAAAGCCAUUCAACAAGUCUCUAGGAAGUUCCAAACUUUCCCAAAUCUUCCUGUCUUCUGAGCCCUCCAAACUGUUCCAAUUGUUACCCAGUUUCAAAGUCGCUUCCACAUUUGCAGGUAUCUUUACAGCAGUACCCCACUCUAAUGGUACCUAUUUACCGUAUUAGUUCAUUUUCAUAUGGCUAUGAAGAAACACCUGAGACUGGGUACAAUUUAUAAAGGAAAGAGGUUUAAGGGAUCACAGUUUCACGUGGCUGGGGAGACCUCACAAUUAUGGCAAAGGAGAACAAAGGCACAACUUGCAUGGUGGCAGACAAGAGAGCAUGUGCAGAGGAACUCCACUUUAUAAAGCCAUCAGAUCUCCGAGACCAUCCUGGCUAACAGUGAAACCCCAUCUCUACUAAAAAAUACAAAAAAAAAAAAAAAAAAAAAAAAUUAGCCGGGCAUGGUGGCAGGCGCCUGUAGUCCCAGCUACUCAGGAGGCUGAGGCAGGAGAAUGGCGUCAACCCGGCAGGUGGAGCUUCCAGUGAGCUGAGAGAUGCCACUACACUCCAGCCACUGCACUGCAGCCUGGGCAACACAGCGAGACUCUGUCUCAAAAAAAAAAAAAAAAAAAAAAACCCAACAGAUCUCAUGAGACUUACUAUCAUGGGAAUAGCAUGCAAAAGACCUGACCCAUGAUUGAAUUCCUCCCCCAGGUCCCUCCCAUGACACGUGGGAAUUAUGGGAGCUACAAUUGAAGAUGAGAUUUGGGUGGCGACAGAGCCAAAUGAUAUUACCCAGCUUUAACAAAUCUUAACAUUUAAAAAACCUAAACCAUUAUAGAUAUAAUUGAAGCCAAACCUGCUUCUGUCCCACCCUUUCAAGAGGUGACUAUAACCAUAAAUUUAGUACUCAUCAUUCUCAAGCAUUUAAUACCACUUCUACAUGAGUAUGUAAUAUUAAACAAUAUGUGUUAUUGUUUUGCAUGUUUUCAAACUUUAUUUACACAGUUUAGGGAAUAUAAAAAUCUCAGAAACUUAGUGCUGAAAGGAAAAAGAAAAUUCUGAUUUGAAAAAGAAUUCUACAAUUCGCUAUUUCCUUUCAGCAUUAAGUUUUUGAGAUUUAUCAAUGUCAAAACACUUGGCUUUAUGUAGUUCAUUCAUUUUAACAAAAGGGGAAAAACAUCAAAAAACUAAAAACAGUGCACCAUAUGCAAUCUUUUAUAAAUUACAAGGUCACAGCUAACCUUUCUGUCCUAUCACUGUUAAUACCAAAGGAAAUGAAAACUCAGAGUUCAAAUAACCUAGAAAAAAGCAAAGAACAUUUGUACAGAAAGUUAUAUAAUCUUAGAAAAAUUUUUGUACCUGUAAAGAUGUAAUGAAAGGUUUUGACUAUAUCCCCAUAAUUUUAUCUGUGGGUUAUAAUUUCUUGAAAUCAACCAAAUAGUGUUAGAUUCUGCCAUCACCUAAAACAUCUGCCUCAACCACAAGAAGCUUAAACAUUAAGAAGAGCUGCAGAAACCAGGACCUGAUAUGAAAGAAUUCAGACUUUUACUGUAUCAAAACUCCACACAGGACUACUCAGAACAGAGCCCAUACAGGCUAUAAAAUGUCAUUCCACAUUUCCACAUACAGCAGCUGGGGCAAGGGGUGGAAUCAUAAGUAUUUUGGUAGUGUUAUUGAUGGGAAGUUCUUGAUAUAAUUAAUCAAAAGUUUGUGCCAUUUUAAAACCCUUAAAAGGAUUUAACAAUGUCUAGCACAAAGGAGAAAGUGACAUUUCCAAAGGUUGUUUAGCAAUGACAUAUCCUCAAGGGUGGUCCUCGGGGAAAAACAGAGGCAGAAGCAGGCCUACGGCAUAAACACUGCACUUUAGAACAGCUUGGCAGUCUCUGACGGGGAGAUGAUCUGUCAGAGGGCAGGGCUGGGAAAAAAACAGUCCAGUCCUACUCAGCAAUCUCACCACUCUACUUCCAUUCAGGUCUUCACUCUAGCUCAGAAUUCCUUAGACAAGAAAGUGAAAGUAUCAAGAAAAUAAAAAAGAAAAAGGUAGCCCAGAUGAGAAUUUUCCAUGGUGGAUAUAAGAACAUAGAGGUUGUUUUUGUUUUGUUUUUUUUUUUUUCAACAUGACGUUACGGAAAGAGCAGGUUUUGGAAUAUGCAGCUCGAGGUGUGAGUCCCAGCUCUAUCAUGUGGGAGCCACAUGGCCUUGGGCAAGGCAGUCAACCUCUUGAUGCUGUUUCCUCAUCUGAAAUCUGGGAUCCCACUCAGAGUUACGUGCUAGAGACGUGGCAAGCACCAAGCACAGAACUUAGCAAACACAUGAUCUUGUAUAUAGUAGACAUCAUUAUUGUUUUCCCCUCUAUUCUUCUUUUCAAUUUCUGAAUCAUAAGGAUUGCCUGAGCCUAGGAGAUCAAGGCCAGCCUUGGCAACAUGGCGAAAUGCCAUCUCUACAAAAAAAAAAAAAAAAAUUAUCUAGGUGUGGUGGCAAGCACCAGUGGUCCCAGCUACUCAGAAGGCUGAGGUGGGAGGAUUGCUUGAGCCCAGGAGAUCAGGAUGCAGU
rnacentral:lncRNA from 1 species